AAUCAACGCUGGCGGCGNGCCUAACACAUGCAAGUCGAACGAGAAAGGGGACUUCGGUCCCUGAGUACAGUGGCGCACGGGUGAGUAACACGUGACUUAUCUACCCUCGAGUGGGGAAUAACUUCGGGAAACCGAGGCUAAUACCGCAUAAUACCCACGGGUCAAAGGAGCAAUUCGCUUGAGGAGGAGGUCGCGGCCGAUUAGUUAGUUGGCGGGGUAAUGGCCCCACCCAAGACAGUGAUCGGUAUCCGGCCUGAGAGGGCGCACGGACACACUGGAACUGAAACACGGUCCAGACUCCUACGGGAGGCAGCAGUGGGGAAUUUUGCGCAAUGGGGGAAACCCUGACGCAGCAACGCCGCGUGGAGGAUGAAGUCUCUUGGGACGUAAACUCCUUUCGAUCGGGACGAUUAUGACGGUACCGGAAGAAGAAGCCCCGGCUAACUUCGUG
rnacentral:rRNA from 1 species